UUCUUAUCUAGAGAAGCUGAGGGACUGGCCCUUUGAAGCUUCAGCAACCUGGCAUAAUGAAACCAUCUGUAUUCAGCAGAGCUUUCAUUCCAAGGUGCUAAUUCCAGCGAUGCAUCCAUCGAACGAUAAGAA
rnacentral:ncRNA from 2 species